rnacentral:rRNA from 1 species
GACGAACGCUGGCGGCGUGCCUAACACAUGCAAGUCGAGCGAAUGAAGUUCCUUCGGGAAUGGAUUUAGCGGCGGACGGGUGAGUAACACGUGGGCAACCUGCCCCAUAGAGGGGAAUAGCCUUCCGAAAGGGAGAUUAAUACCGCAUAAGAUUGUAGUAUCGCAUGAUACAGCAAUUAAAGGAGCAAUCCGCUAUGAGAUGGGCCCGCGGCGCAUUAGCUAGUUGGUGAGGUAACGGCUCACCAAGGCGACGAUGCGUAGCCGACCUGGGAGGGUGAUCGGCCACAUUGGGACUGAGACACGGCCCAGACUCCUACGGGAGGCAGCAGUGGGGAAUAUUGCACAAUGGGGGAAACCCUGAUGCAGCAACGCCGCGUGAGUGAUGACGGCCUUCGGGUUGUAAAGCUCUGUCUUCAGGGACGAUAAUGACGGUACCUGAGGAGGAAGCCACGGCUAACUACGUG